rnacentral:misc_RNA from 1 species
GUAGUUAACAGUCAGCAGUUCGUAAACAAACCAGCAUGGUAAUGAUGGCAUGGUUCCUUGAGCAGUGUUUUUGUUCUAUUUCAAUUUCACGAGUCUGAGUCCCGUCGGCACUUUAUUUUUUUGUCCUCAGGUUUUUUAAAGUAUUUCCAAAAUGCCCAAACCUAAGCGCUAUUUUGAGUACAGCGAAAAGAAGUCCUUCGGUGGGAAGCAGAGACAUGACGAUGGUGGCGGUGGUGAACACAAUCCGUCCCGCGAGAGACGAGGAGUCCUCUCUGAGGAGGUUAUGUCUUACUAUAGACAAGUCUCCGCAACUUUAGAAACAGGUUUUGAUGAAGAUAAUCCAGAAGUCAAAGAUCAGUUCCUGGCCAAUGUUUUCUCUUCUUUGAAAGACGAGUGUGUGUCCGUGUCACAGAACCAGACUGUGAGCAAGAUCCUGGAGGUUCUCCUCUCUCACAGUCCUGCCAGCCACAUGCGCCCUGUGUUCUGCAAGUUCUGCAAGGAGCUCACCAUUGUUGUAUUUGAUGCCUUCGCCAGCCAUGUGUUCCAGGCACUCAUCCAGUACUUACCGCUCAUGUUUGUACAGAAGGACGAGGAAGAUGAUGAAGAGAUGAUCAAGCAAGUAAAAGAAUCCGCUCAAGUGCUGUUCUCCUUCAUGGAGUCUCACCUUCGGGACAUUAUGACUCAUGUCUAUGGUAGUCAUGUUCUUCGUACUUUGCUCGAGGUCUUGGGGGGAGUUGUUGUCACAGAUGAUAUUGUACGAAGUCGUGUUUCCCGAAGUCAGAGCAUGAAAAAAGUUGCCGACAGACCUGAAGUUGACAGUGGUGUUUUGAAAUCAUUUAGCGAGGAGCAGAAGUCCUGGUUUGAGACACUCUCACAGAAGUUGAUCAAGCUGUGCAAUUAUGAAGAUCACCUGAGCGACAAUAAUUACAGCCCAGUGCUCCAAACAGUUCUGCUGAUUCUGAGCAAAACUUCCCCAUCUGAGUAUGACAAAUUGGUUGACACCAUAUUAGAAAAGACCUGCAUGCUGGCAAAUCAGGAAGAUAUUCCAGCUGAUGACAUUGUAAACAGAUUACCUCUUCUUGUCCAGGAUAACAUUGGCUCUUUCGUUGUGGAGCUGAUCAUCUCUCUGAGUUCUGGGCCCAGGUUUGAGGAGCUUUACAACUUACUCUUCAAAGGAAAGCUGCUGUUUUUUGCUGUUCAUCCAUUUGCAAAUUAUGUUCUUCAGAAAAUGUUGUCAACAAUCUCUGAGAAAAAACUGAUGCAGAAUAUCCUUGACGACAUCAGCAAGUACAUUGAGGAUAUCCUGGCUGUGAACCACUGCGGUAUCGUCACAAAACUGGCCGAGGCCUGUCAGAGGACUGGGGUUGGGCAGGAGCAGUUUUUGCAGGUCCUUAUGUCGGCUUUUCACUGCUAUGAGCCAGAGUCAAAGCGGACCAAGAUUGUGCCUCUCGUGGCAUCAUUCCAGACAUAUGAGGUUUUUUACAAGGCUGCUGAAGAUUCAAAGGAAGAAGGGGCCAGUGCUCUGCUCAAAACUGUCAGCUACCAUGGUUCUAUGAUCCUGCAGCAGCUGUUGCAGUUUUCGAAACCAGUUACCGUGGUGAUGAGUGUUCUAGAGCUGUCGGCUGCAGAGCUCCUGUUCUUGGCAUGUAACCACAAGGGCAGUCACGUGGUGGAUGUUUUCUUCCAGAGCCCCACCGUGAAGGACAAACACAAGGACACUCUUGUGAAGAAACUUGUGGGUCUGUACAUCAACAUGGCCUGUAACAAAGUCGGAUCUCGUUGUCUGGAAAACAUCUGGAAGCUGGUCUCCAUUCCGCUACGAGUCCUCAUCGCUGAAGAUCUAAGCAAGUACAAUGAGAGACUGGAGGGGGACUUCUCUGGCAGGUUCAUUUUCAACAACUUUGCCCUGCACAAAUUUGUGACCCGCCGUAAAGAGUGGAGGGAAAUUCAAGGGGCAAACUCAAAGAAGAAACAGCUCCUGAAAGGCAUUUUGGAAGGAAAACAGCCCAAGAAAAUGAAAGAGAAGAAAAAACCUUCCAGUCAACUUGCAGUUGAGGAAACUGAGAACCCGACUGACUUUGUUGAUGAGAGCAACGAGAAGAAUCCCAGUCAGUCACUGGAUGGUCCGCAACAAAAGAAGAAAAAGGAAAAGGCUGCCGUCUGUGAAGCUGUCAUUGACCGGCUGCCCACAUCUGGUGUUCUGGAUGAGUCGAGCAAUGUUGAUAAUGACGAUAACAAAAAGAGUAGAAACAGGAAGAAGGAAAAGAAACGGGUAGUGAGAACUGCGGAUAAGGCGAGUGAUUCAGACACUGUACCUGUGAAAAAGAAAAGAAAACGAGAUCAAGGGGAAAGUGUUGGGGAUGAGGAAGAAGUUAUUGUGUCUAAAAAGAAGAAGAAGAAACAGAAAAAUGUUAGUGGCAGUAGCAUUAAGAAGAAUACAAAUACUGAACGUGUGAAAAAGAAGAAACGAGAUCAGGAGAAAAGUAUUGAGGAUGAGGAAGAGGUUAUUGUGCCAAAGAAAAAGAAGAAGAAACAGAAAGAUGUUCAUGAAUGAUAAUAGUAGGGAUAAGAACAAGGGGGGAAAACAAAGAUGAAGAAGAGAAUAAGGUAAGAGAUGGGGAGAUGUUGUUGCAUUUAACCCUUUCAUUGCCAGGUUGUAUGCGUUCCUGUCAGCACUGAUUUUGAGCUGAGCUCGUUUCUCAGGACAGCAGCCUAAUGUUUCAGUAUUAGUGGACGCGCGGUCUAGAUCUAGCGCUCUCAUUACAUAUUUCAGACACUGGGUCUUUGAUUGUCACUUUUCUUAUCGGAUCAGAUUAACGAGUAAAUGUCCUCUUUGGAAAGUGGUGGCACAGAGUCCCCCACAUCGUAUGGAUGCGAUAGUAAAACACAACGUACGGAUAGGAUUAAAAGAGCUGGAAGACCUUCAGCAGAGGCUGAUGAAAAGUAACUUUUGAGGAAUAAAUUAGAGUAUGUGGAAUAGAGCCAGGAAAAAACAGGAUGAGGUUGAGGUGGCUGUUGUAGAGAAAGACACUGCCUGCAGGUGGAUAGGUGGGAUAUCGAGGGGAGUUCUGUGGACAGGUGGGAUAUUGUGAGGGGAAUUCCGAUAAAUUUAUUGGGCACGAGGAAAUAUUUCACUUUUUAUAAUAAUGGUGAAGUUGGAUUUCACAAGGUACAGCAGAAAAAUGUGGUUUCCAGAUUUCCUUGUUGUUUUGUUAUUAUGCUAAUUUCAUGUAAAUAAAAAAGUUCAAAUUUA